CUUGGUCAUUUAGAGGAAGUAAAAGUCGUAACAAGGUCUCCGUUGGUGAACCAGCGGAGGGAUCAUUACCGAGUACUAUAACUCAUAACCCUUUGUGAACCUUUAUACCUGUUGCUUCGGCGGCGCGCCUCCCGGGGCGUGCCCGCCGGCAUUAUCAGAAUCUCUGUUCGAACCCGACGAUACAUCUGAGUGUUCUAAGCGAACUGUUAAAACUUUCAACAACGGAUCUCUUGGCUCCAGCAUCGAUGAAGAACGCAGCGAAACGCGAUAUGUAAUGUGAAUUGCAGAAUUCAGUGAAUCAUCGAAUCUUUGAACGCACAUGGCGCCUUCCAGUAUCCUGGGAGGCAUGCCUGUCCGAGCGUCGUUUCAACCCUCGAGCCCCCGUGGCCCGGCGUUGGGGAUCUGCCCAGGCAGUCCCCGAAAACCAGUGGCGGACCCGUCGGGCCCUUCCUUUGCGUAGUAACAUCUGCCUCGCAUCGGGAGCCUGCGGGCUAUCCGGCCUCUAAACCCCCCUCAAGCCCGCUCCGGCGGCACCAAGGUUGACCUCGGAUCAGGUAGGAAUACCCGCUGAACUUAAGCAUAUCAAUAAGCGGAGGAAAAGAAACCAACAGGGAUUGCCUCAGUAACGGCGAGUGAGGCGGCAACAGCUCAAAUUUGAAAUCUGGCUCCUUCGGGGCCCGAGUUGUAAUUUGCAGAGGAUGCUUCGGGUACGGGUUCCUUCCGAGUUCCCUGGAACGGGACGCCAUAGAGGGUGAGAGCCCCGUCUGGUAGGACACCCAGCCCGUGUGAAGCUCCCUCGACGAGUCGAGUUGUUUGGGAAU
rnacentral:sRNA from 1 species